rnacentral:snRNA from 1 species
AUUUCUUCUAAAUGAUUAAGAUCAAGUUUAUUAUUUGUUUUAAUCAGUUUAAUUUUUGAUAUGCAGGUCAAUGAUUCGUACAAUGUUAAAUUAAUUUUUUAAAGGGAGAGUUCAUAACAUUAGCUUGCUGCUAGAGAUUUCACAUGUUGUCUUUGAGUGUGUGACACAUCCUCU